UACGGAGGGGGCAAGCGUUGUUCGGAAUUACUGGGCGUAAAGGGCUCGUAGGCGGCCAACUAAGUCGGAUGUGAAAUCCCCAGGCUUAACCUGGGAAUUGCAUCCGAUACUGGAUGGCUUGAAUCCGGGAGAGGGAUGCGGAAUUCCAGGUGUAGCGGUGAAAUGCGUAGAUAUCUGGAGGAACACCGGUGGCGAAGGCGGCAUCCUGGACCGGCAUUGACGCUGAGGAGCGAAAGCCAGGGGAGCAAACGGG
rnacentral:rRNA from 1 species